UNUAGAGAUGCCUACUAUGUGCUAUUUCC
rnacentral:piRNA from 1 species